rnacentral:rRNA from 1 species
CCUACGGGAGGCAGCAGUGGGGAAUAUUGCACAAUGGGGGCAAGCCUGAUCCAGCGACGCCGCGUGAGUGAAGAAGUCUUUCGGUAUGUAAAGCUCUUUCAGCAGGGAAGAAAAGGACGGUACAUGAUUAAGAAGCCCCGGCGAACUACGUGCCAGCAGCCGCGGGAAUCCGGAGGGGGCAAGCGUUAUUCGGAAUUACUGGGUGUAAAGGGGGCGUUGACGGGAGCACAAGUCUGGGGUGAAAUGCCGGGGCUAAACCCCGGAACUGCUGUGGAAACUGGGGAUCUAGAGUGCAGGAGAGGUAAGUGGAAUGCCUGGUGUAGCGGGGAAAUGCGUAGAUAUUAGGCAGAACACCAGUGGCGAAGGCGGCUUACUGGACUGCAACUGACGCUGAGGCUCGAAAGCGUGGGGAGCAAACAGGAUUAGAUACCCCGGUAGUC